AAUAGAUAUUUUUUAUUUUAUGUUAUGUUGAAUGUUUAAAAAUAUAAAUAAAUAUUUUUGUUAGUGUUAUCUUACCUUUUGUUUCAUGUUCUAAUAAAUUUCAAAAGGUUUUUUAAACUCGAAAUUUCAAGAUUGUGCUUUUUUUUGUUUUGAACUUAUGGUUAAAAGAGUUUUUUUUAAAAAAUUAAAGUUGGGGUAGAAAUUGUAAAUCGGUUGAAAAUAUAUCUAGUUUAAUAAGUGAUUUUUCUUUUUUAGUUUGUUGAUUAAUUUAGCAAACUGUUAAUAGGGUGUUUUUUUUGAAAAAUGUUUAAGAUGAGAAUUUUCUGUAAUUAAGAUAAUGUUACAAUUUUAUUUUUUGUCUUAUUUCCUUUAAGAAAAUUAUUUUUUUAACUAUUUAACAAAGUGAUAGAAUAAGUAUAAUAAAUAAUAUUUGGGAACUCGAUGUUUUUACAACUGUUUAUCAAAAACAUUUUCUCUAGAAAAUAUUUAGAGAUAAUACCUGCUCAAUGUUAAAAUAAAUAGCUGCGGUAUCCUAACUGCACUAAGGUAGCAUAAUUAAUUGUCUUUUGAAUGGUGACUUGUUUGAAUGGUUUUUUGAGAAAAAAAUUUUCCUUUUAUUUUUUAGAAUUUAUAAUUUUGGUUAAAAUACCUAAAUUUAUAAGAAAGACGAGAAGACCCUGUUGAGUUUUACAGUUUACUUUUGCUGUUUAAAUGGGAAAUUUAAUUUUAUUUUAAAGUUUUUUUGAUCCUAAAGUUUGGAAAUAGGAAAAAAUUACCACAGGGAUAACAGGACAAUAUUUACUGAGAGUUCUUAUUGAAGUAGAUGAUUGUUACCUCGAUGUUGAAUCAAAGAACUCUUCUUGGUGCAGUAGUCAAGAAAGUGGGUCUGUUCGACCGUUAAAACUUUACGUGAUUUGAGUUAAGACCGGCGUAAGCCAGGUUGGUUUCUAUCUUCUUUUGAUCGCUUUUUGUACGAAAGGAAUUGAGUGGUUAGGAAAUCU
rnacentral:rRNA from 1 species